CCCUUAGAUGUUCUGGGCCGCACGCGCGCUACACUGAUGCAUUCAACGAGCCUAUCCUUGACCGACAGGUCCGGGUAAUCUUUGAAUCUCCGUCGUGCUGGGGAUAGAUCAUUGCAAUUAUUGAUCUUGAACGAGGAAUUCCUAGUAAGCGCAAGUCAUCAACUUGCGUUGAUUACGUCCCUGCCCUUUGUACACACCGCCCGUCGCUACUGCCAACUGAGAUGGGUCCUGAAUUGUUAGGAACGCCCGUCAAGGGGCCUACCCGGUCCCUAGUGCGGUGACGAGAAUAACUGUAAAUGGCAUAUCUUGUAGGGAGUAAAAGUCGUAACA
rnacentral:rRNA from 1 species